GAGAAAAAUUUUUUAACAAGUUCAACAAGACAUUUUUCAACUGUUAACUUUUCUCACUUGCAUGAACCAGGCCAAGCGGGUACCAUCAGUGGACACCACCCUGCAUUGAACCCCUGCCUGCGGGCUAUGCACCACACUUCCAGUGGAGGAGAGAGGAGGGUGAUGGGAUGACUGCUGUACCAUGCUUUACUGAAUCUGGUCACAAGAAGAGAUGUUUUGGAAGUGUUUGUUACUAAUUCAAGAGAGCGGUAGGGAAAAAUCUCAGAGAACGUCUUUGAUGCACUUGAUUAUUCCACUCCAAGCCUGAUGGAUCUCUUCAGAAAGAAGAAAGUAUCUUCCAGACCACUGAGCCAACAGACAUCAGGUGCCUUCGUCUUCAGGGACUGCCAGUCAUCUUGGGGGAUUAUCCUUCUGCCUUCUUCAAGACCUGCUCUAGAGAAGCUGGUAAACAGCGAGCGAGAGAGAGAGAGAGAGAAGCCCAGCGCUGUGUAUGUCUGCAUGUGUUUGUGCUGAGUGUAAUAAAAUAGAAAUAAAGUCAUAGAAAAGUGGAACUAAGUGAGAAUAAAAUGUACAUUGAGUUGUCACAAGCCUGCCUCCCAUUUCCUCAUUUACCCCAAACUAUGAAGUGUUACACUGGUGCCAAAACCCAACAAUUGAGGAUAAAGCAUUGUCAUGGAGUCCAUUUGCCAAGAUCCUCCAGACCCUUGUCAGCAUCUACCAAGCCUAACAUCAGGUCCUCAUUGCUCUAUGUGCAGAGCAGGAGCUUCCAAGCUCUGCUCCAGGCCCAAGCAGAAGACCAGCAGGUGAUCUGAAGCCUGGU